rnacentral:lncRNA from 1 species
CGGAGAUCGGGCGCCUCCCAUCAGUUUCCCUUUUCAGCAAUAGAGGCCUUGGAGGCCUUUCUACCUGCGUUGCAUCCUGUGGCUGGACCACUCCAACGAUCUCGGCAGAAUCGUUACACAGGAAGAAGUCUGGCUGGCCCCAAGCCUGGUGCAAAAUGAAGAAAUGGCACUCCACAUCAAUUCAUGUUUACUUGUCAUAGCCAGUCUGUUAGCUUAAUUUUUGGUUCUUCCUAUUGAAUUCUCAAGAAAGGUACCAACUCUGUCAUUCAUUGAAAACAAACUUUUGCACUUGGGGAUGCAGCCAUGCACAAAGCCUUUGAGCUCAUUAAUAUCUUUAUUUUUUAAAGAAAGUGCAGCUCCUGCGUGGAGCAAUAGGUUGAAUAAGACGAGGGUAAAUGAAAAGAUGGCGAAAUUAGUCAUCAACAG